GGCCUGAUGGUCUAGUAGUAUGAUUCCUUGUUAGGGUGAGAAGGAGGUUCAAAGGCAUAUCGAGGAGGUCCCGGGUUCAAUUCCCGGUCAGGCCC